rnacentral:rRNA from 1 species
AUUGAACGCUGGCGGCAGGCUUAACACAUGCAAGUCGAGCGGGGAAGGGUAGCUUGCUACCUGACCUAGCGGCGGACGGGUGAGUAAUGCUUAGGAAUCUGCCUAUUAGUGGGGGACAACAUUCCGAAAGGAAUGCUAAUACCGCAUACGCCCUACGGGGGAAAGCAGGGGAUCUUCGGACCUUGCGCUAAUAGAUGAGCCUAAGUCAGAUUAGCUAGUUGGUGGGGUAAAGGCCUACCAAGGCGAUGAUCUGUAGCGGGUCUGAGAGGAUGAUCCGCCACACUGGGACUGAGACACGGCCCGGACUCAUACGGGAGGCAGCAGUGGGGAAUAUUGGACAAUGGGCGGAAGCCUGAUCCAGCCAUGCCGCGUGUGUGAAGAAGGCCUUUUGGUUGUAAAGCACUUUAAGCGAGGAGGAGGCUACUUGGAUUAAUACUCUAGGAUAGUGGACGUUACUCGCAGAAUAAGCACCGGCUAACUCUGUGCCAGCAGCCGCAGUAAUAC